GCUCUGGAGCGCUGCAUUUCUUUCUCCACUCGAAUCUCUUCUGUCAUAAUCCUCUGACAAUCCCCCUUGUUCGGGGAGUGAGAUAUCAUCUGGUCAAGUUUUAUACAUUUAACAUUCAUUUUAUGUGUGAGUAGAAUAACUAACUGCUUUUCCGUACUCCUUUCUUUGUAGGAAGAAACAGAAGUUUUAACCAUCUUCCCAUGGCAUCUGACUUUUUUGAAGAGGAGGACUUUUCAGGCACUUGAUCGAAUGGAAAUAAGAGGUUUGUUUCAAGACUCUUAUGUCGUUCAUCAGUUCUAUUAACAAACGUGGGGCUUGAGGAUGCGUUUGCUGCUUCUUUGCAUUAUUGCUGAAGGAGAGAAGUAGUGAGAUCCACAGUGGGGAAAACGAACCAGCAGUCCAUCCUGUCCUGUACCUGCUGGAAUAUGGGAAGAGACCUAGUACAAAGCCAGAGUGCAGCUGGGCUUGCAGUCUUUUUAACCAUAUUAAGUCCUGUUCAGAGUUAAUGAUGAGCUCAGUGAGAUGGUCUCAGCAAUGCUGAAGAAGGGAAGGACAGAAUUGGAAGGCAGGAGCUCUUUCAAAGCAGGAUUCUUCAUCUUUCUGUAAUGCCCAAACAUGAAGACUUUAUAAACUUCAUUAGAUCCUGCCAUCAAUGACUGAGCCUCCCUGAAAUCUUAUCAGUUACUGCCAAGAUGAGAAGGAUAACAGGAAGGAGGAGUGCUUAAGUGGUUUUAAUAACAGUUAAUUUCAUCUAUUUAUCAAAUGACAGGUUGUUUUUUCCUCAAAACUUGAUUGUCAUGACAAGAUGCUUUGAAAGUCAUCUUUGUAAAAUAAAACUGACAAUUUUUAGGCUACAAAGAGCUAUUGUGUCUUUCUGUAGAACGUUGUCAUUAUGGUAAAUGCUGGAAAGUCUUUAUUUUUUAAGUAAUUUGACUUGCAUACUUCAUUAAUUUAUUUGAAUGUCUGUUGAAUGCCAUGUGAAAAGUUUCUUGCCAGAGUUCUUUUAUUCAAUGGAAUAGUUAUUGUUACAAUGCUCAAUUUAUUAUUGUCUAAAUUACUGUUGCCCUAGCCUCCUGCAAAGAUGUUUCUUUUUAGUAAUUCUUAAACAAAUAAGGAAUGAAUGCGGUUUUGUCCCCUUUGUGUUUUGAUCAGCAUAUUUUAGUGCAAGUGUCUUCAGUUUUUGGAAUGACACAACGAAAGAUGUUUUGGUUUUUGGUUGGGUUUUUUUUCCCCAACAGCACAUGUCUUUUGUGCAAUGAUUUUUUAAUAUGUACAUUGCCAAGAUACAGUUACUGGAAGGAGAGAGAAGCUGUUGGGAAUGUCAUGUUAUGCCAAAUUAAGAAUUAUUAGCUCUUAGUUUCUGUGCAAUCUCUUCGACUAGAACUCGACCUAUUGCGUCUGGCGUAUACUUUGACUCUAGUGGAACUAAUGUGUCCUUGGAGUAGCAUUUCAGAGUAACUUCAGAUUCAUGGUUUUUUCACAAGUCUGCUUUAAACUGCUGGGAUUAACUUCAGAGAAGGCGAGAGAUACAGGCUCCUUUGUCAGCAGCUGUGCUGGUUAAAGAAGGAGGCUUCAUGCACGCUUGCUUGCUCAUUCUCUCCCUGCUAGGGGAGCAAACUGAACUGUUUCCCUGAGCACACCCGGACUUACUUCAGCCAGACUUAAUGCUGUUAUCAAAUAUUAGUUAUCCAGCACCCUGGGUCACUUUGAUGAAAGGACAGGGCAUACACAGACCAGCUUUGCAGACGUCAUGUCUGGGAAGGGUGGUGUGUUGACAGGAGUGGUGCUGAGGGCUGGCCCUGGUGUGCUGCCUUUUCAGCAGGUGCAGUUACAUCUCUGGGAUGUGGUAGAAAUUGGACGUGUUAGAAAGCUGUGCAGAUCUGUCAUGAAUAAUAUUCACAUUCCAGGGACAUCCUGGAAAUUGCAAAAUAAACCUUUGACUUACUCCUUGUGUGUGCCAGUAUGAGGGGACAGAGCUGGUGUGAGUGUGUGUACAUGACAGACUCCUAUUUCAGGAAAAUGUGUCUGGUCAAGGUGUGGGAAUGGUACAAGUGUUUCCGUUAUCUAGAGAACACACUUUUGACUUUACUCAUCAAAGAAGCUGCCUCAGCCAACACAUGCCUCAGGAGAACAUGAGCUACCUUGAGUGGAGAAGGGAGAGCACCUCCAGCAGGAGUGGCUGCUGUUGCCUCUCUACAGCAUUGAAUCAGUAGAUGCUGGAGUCUAGUGAAACAUCCAAGCUCUUGAUAUUCUCUGUGCCAAAGUUAGAAUGGUAUGGAUAGUCUUUAGUACUCAAAGGCAUGCUGAGUAAAAGCAGUGCAGUCAACACCUCCUUCAACACUGACCCUCCUUGUGCAAAGGCCAUGGAGUAUAGGUGCCUUCCUAGAGCUGGCUUGGGCAUACAAAGAACAAGAAGCUUUCUGAUCUGUCAGAAACCUGAGAGCAGCAGCACUGACAGGUGAAAAGAACACAGUCACAGAAAGGACUGAGCCUCCAGCUCGGGUUGUGUGUCAUCCAUUAUCUUUUUUUGUCCUUAAGGUAAAGGAUGAGGAGUAUGCAGUGGCCAUACUGUACAUACAGAAGGAAGGAAAAUAUUGUGUGUAAGGAAGGGGCAGGAGUGGCUCCAGCUGUGGGAGCUGUGCCCUGUUCCAGCAGCCCAGGGUUGAGCCAUGGCUGAGCUCUCAGUACUGGGUUCAGAAGUGAUGUGCCUUCCCCAAACGACUCACAUCUCCCCUGACCAUGAACGAAGUGCAUAUGAGCCUCCACAGCUCUCUGAGACACCCGUAAUUCGUAUAACUCUUUAUCUUUAAAUGGACUAUUGUAGUACCAAGAAAUGUUUAAUGAAAUGCUUGUGAUUGCCUAGGAAUCUAUUUACCUGCUGAAGUGGUAGUACACAGUUAAACCAGUACUGCAAAAUUACAUUUUACAUAGAGUGCUGUCAUGGAUGUUAAGCUGAUGAGAAAAAUUUUACAUGCAACCAUUUAAAACAAUCAAAUAGUAUAGUUAAACUUCCAUGGUGUUUAUGUAGUGCUAAAAAGAUAACAAAAUAACUCCAGGGAAGGCAGAUUUUCUUCUUAUAAAUAUUUCAAAUAAUAGGUUGGUUUCAAGUAGACUUCCUGGCUCUUUGGUGAUUGCUGCAUUCAGUCUGAAUCUAUCAGGAAUCCUAAUCAUAGUGGUGUGGUUAUUGUUAUAAACACAUGAUUUCUAUAUAUGUUCUCCAAAAAUAUGUUGGAUGAAACACAGUUUACCUUCUUAACUGGCACUAUAUGGUUAUUUUCUAACUCCUUUAAUUUCAGUUCUAACUUGACUGAAUAAAAGGUGCAGUCCUGAAAAUAAUCUUUACAUCUGUAAAUAUGUACAUAUGACUGUUUGCAUACUGCAGACAUAGCACAACAUUUUUAAAGCAAUAUGUGUUGACAAUACGCAGAGAUAAAAAUCAGUUUAUGACAAACUAAGGAGCAAACUUUUAAUAAGACUGAUGAAUCAUUAGAAAUUAUUAGAAAGGGAAUGUUAGAUUUUCCAUCUUUUGAAUGAGGAUGAAAUAUUUUUAUAGAGGUAUAUGCUUGAACAAAUGGUUGGGUGUGGUAGAGGAAUUCCUCACAGGCUUCUGUGGCUUUUGCAACUCCUGGGGUCAGACUGGGUCGUUGUGGACAUCCUUCUGGCUUGGAGGGAGUGAGAAUUCUCAGUGCAGCAGAUGUCUCCAUAGAAUAGCAGCUUCCACUGAAAAGCUACUCAAAGUUAAUUAAGCUUAUCUUCAAAAAAGGAUGGGGAGGGGCAUUGGGAAUGUUCCUGUCACCUAGUGCCAUGCCUUUUUCAAAGACCCUCUCUCACCUGACUGCUUGCUCCUGUAGGGUGUUUCCUUGGCUUUGGUGGGUUUCUCUGGUUCAUCUAUCCUCCCCCCACCCACAUUAAUCAAACAGCACAUGAGCAUCUUUUUUUCAGAGCAAAUGUCUUCUACAGAGUGUCUACUUCUAUGAAAUGUAAUAUUGCCCUUCUGCUAGAGAUAAUUAUUAGGUUGAAAAUAAUCUGACAAUAUCCUGCUGUGGAUAAAUUAGGUUUGUUCUCUACCAAGAUUAGUUAGCUGGCACCCAUUCACUAACACAAGAAAAUAAUUUCAAGUUGAUUGUAUCCAGUUAUCUGCCUUCUUUAUUUUUAAUGGGCUUUUUGUGGCCAUGCUGUCACCAAAUGUGUGCAAGUCAUACUUUUCCAAGUGCCCUACAGCCUAGGUCGAGAUGGUGUUUGCUGUCCUGUACCAUGAAAAGACUUGUGGGCAGAAGUGUUUGGAGAAGGGGAGAGGUUGUGUCCAUGUAGAUUUCUGAAUCAUGUGCACCUUUGGUUUUGGCCAACAGAGGUGUGUUCUGCUCUAUGGCAGUCAAUAUGUUACCACCAAAGUCCAAAAUGCUGGGUAUAAUUAGCUCAUGUGUUUCAGUAAGUGUUGUUAUUUUUCAGCUUGCAUAUACAAGCCUGUUUUCAUGCAGAAGUACAUAUUUUACUUAGGAAGAAUGCUGUGCAAAUCAGAAAAAGCAGAAAAAUUAUUUAAAGUUUUUGUGCUAGUGUUUAAGAUUUAAAAAUAACUGUGAGAUCUUUAUUUCUUUGUUUACGAUUGAUUAGGGUUAGAGUUUUAAAAGCUUAAUGCUGACUCUAAGUGCUUUACAGUCAGUCACUGAGAAAUAUGGGCUUGGCACAACCACGUUUCUGUCCUUCAGUAUAUCCAUUAUUGUUAGAUGCUGAGUGGUCAUUGCACAUAGAUGACUGGAUUUUGGGUAUUUUACAUUUCUACAUGUUCAGGAAAAUACUGUGUCGAAGCAGCUGCUGGGUGAAUGGAGUAAUUAAAGAACUGCACUGCUUUUAUUGAAGCUGACAUAUGCUGCACAUUCCUUAAAACUCAGUAUGUGAGCAGAAUGUUUCCAGGAUUUAUUGAAGGCAGACAUCUAGAGAUACUGGGGAGCUUUUAAUAGUAGUAAAGAUAACUUCCAAGUUUUAUGUUGUUAUAUAAAUCUGUCUUUAAGAAGAGAGCUGUUAUUGCAAUACAUUGCUCAUGUUCAUCAUA